rnacentral:rRNA from 1 species
UACGGGGGGUGCGGGCGUUGUCCGGAAUCACUGGGCGUAAAGGGCGCGUAGGUGGUUUGAUAAGGGUGUGGUGAAAGUCCGGGGCUCAACCCCGGAUCUGCCGUGCCGACUGUCAAACUCGAGGACUGUAGAGGCAGACGGAAUUCCGGGUGUAGCGGUGGAAUGCGUAGAGAUCCGGAGGAAGACCAGUGGCGAAGGCGGGUCUCUGGACAGUUCCUGACACUGAGGCACGAAGGCCAGGGGAGCAAACGGG